UACCUCAGCUAUUUAGUAAUUUGGGGGCGGGGGUAUUUCAAGAUAAAGUAACUUAAAAAAAACGGAAAUAGAGAAAAGUCUUCAGCAAAGUGAGGAGUGCUGACCAAGGCAUACACACCGCAGGAAAAGAGGGAAAAACAAACCUUUGGAAGGAAAAGUCAGAGCAGACAGGUUAAGCCGCUUUGAAAAAGGUGCAGGAAUUCCUGUAGAUCUUGCUUGCUAAAGUCACCACGGGCCUUCAAUAUAUGACAUGAAGCAGAACUGAACACUGAUCUCCAGAGGGUAAAACAUCUAUGCAUUAUUUCACUGAGUA
rnacentral:lncRNA from 1 species